UUGACAUUCUGAUUGUUCUAACCGUCUCAUAUAAGCGCCGCUAGUAUAUCCAGUCUGGAAUCUCCAUGACCAAGCUCCGUGCGUUCUGUCGCGGCUGCUCCCUCUGCAAUCUUUUGCACGUAUUUGUUCAUCUUUCACAGGAUUGAGGGGAUUGCCCGGUUAACAAACUUUUGUUGGAGCUUAUAAGCUUCUCGGAGAAAAACACAUUUACCGGGGAGAAAAACGCAUUUACCGGGCUUCAAAGCACUCGUUAAUGUUUGUAAUUUACAUAAUCCGGAAUUGAUCAUUUAGCUAGUUUAUUUUGACAGCAAAUAAACUCUGUCAAAUGGAGCAUAACACUUGGAAACAUGUUAGGGAAGAACUUUUCUAAAUGUGUUAGGGAAGAACUUUUCUAUUUUGGAGAUUCUAAGUACAACUUUCCUCGUUACUACCUGUCUACCUUGCAAUGAGUAACCUAUUGUGAUUUACAUAAUACAGAAUAUCAAUUUCCAUGUUAACAUCUUA